rnacentral:rRNA from 1 species
GACGAACGCUGGCGGCGUGCUUAACACAUGCAAGUCGAACGGUAAGGCCCCAGCUUGCUGGGGUACACGAGUGGCGAACGGGUGAGUAACACGUGGGUGACCUGCCCCGCACUUCGGGAUAAGCCUGGGAAACUGGGUCUAAUACCGGAUAGGACCGCACCGUGAGGGUGUGGUGGAAAGUUUUUCGGUGUGGGAUGGGCCCGCGGCCUAUCAGCUUGUUGGUGGGGUAAUGGCCUACCAAGGCGGCGACGGGUAGCCGGCCUGAGAGGGUGGACGGCCACAUUGGGACUGAGACACGGCCCAGACUCCUACGGGAGGCAGCAGUGGGGAAUAUUGCACAAUGGGCGGAAGCCUGAUGCAGCGACGCCGCGUGGGGGAUGACGGCCUUCGGGUUGUAAACUCCUUUCACCAUCGACGAAGGUUUUCUGACGGUAGAUGGAGAAGAAGCACCGGUUAACUACGUG